rnacentral:tRNA from 1 species
AUUUAUAUAGUUUAAUUAAAACCUUACUUUUUCAAAGUAAAAUUGAUUUAUUAUCUAUAAAUA